UACGUAGGUCCCGAACGUUGUCCGGAUUUAUUGGGCGUAAAGCGAGCGCAGGUGGUUUAUUAAGUCUGGUGUAAAAGGCAGUGGCUCAACCAUUGUAUGCAUUGGAAACUGGUAGACUUGAGUGCAGGAGAGGAGAGUGGAAUUCCAUGUGUAGCGGUGAAAUGCGUAGAUAUAUGGAGGAACACCGGUGGCGAAAGCGGCUCUCUGGCCUGUAACUGACACUGAGGCUCGAAAGCGUGGGGAGCAAACAGG
rnacentral:rRNA from 1 species